GGUGACAUCAAGGUUGGGUCGGUGACACCUGUCCCGGGGGUGGCCGCUGACCUUUGACCUUGUGUGACGCGGCCGCCCGGACCUCGGCCUCGCAGUCCUUCAUCAGGCUCUGGAACGCCCCCACCAGGUCGGUCUUGGUGAUCUCGGGGCCCACGGCGCGCUGGAGCUGCGGGGACAGGUGUGGACAGGUGAGCUCAGGUGUGUACAGGUGUGUACAGGUGUGUACAGGUGUGCACAGGUGUGUACAGGUGUCUACAGAUGUGUCUGUGUGUGUACAGGUGUGUACAGGUGUGUCUGUGUGUGUACAGGUGUGCACCACCAGGUCGGUCUUGGUGAUCUCGGGGCCCACGGCGCGCUGGAGCUGCGGG